rnacentral:lncRNA from 1 species
GCCUUUUUGGAGAGUGCAGGUUCUUAUGCUAACAAUCCAUCUUUGGCCGAGUUUGGACACCUGCUUGCAGCGAUCACAUGAACCAGACCGCAGCCAAAAGUUUCAACUGUCAGAUUAAUUAAUUGGGUAAUAAGGUAAAGUAAUGCUUGUCCUUCCAACAAGAGAUAGUGAUUGCCAUUGCCAGCUAGAGGUAAGAACCCUGAUACAUUUAGUCUUAACACUGCCAAAGAAAAAAGCUUAAGAACCCAACCCUCAAGAUACUGUUAAGUUUUCAAGGCGAGAAGUCACUGACUCUACCUCUAUACCUCCCUACUCCUCUAUCCCCCCAUUCUCCACACCGGCUUCCAAUUUGUAGCCCUUUGUGUACGUUACAGCAGCAAGAUUCCCCGCCCUCCUCUGAUCAGGCCCACGCUCGGACAUCUGUCGGAGGAUGUUUACCCAGGCAGUAAGUAUGUUAGGGGAAAUAUUAUCCUAGUUUUACCUUACCUUUCUUCUGUCUGAAGCAUAAACACCAGCAUUUGGGAGGUGGGGAUGGGAGAGGAGAGGAGAGGCGAGGAGGAGGAAAAAAAAGGAGUGUAGAAGAGAAGGUAAGUGGACCUGAGAGAGUAGAAGUGAAGGAUGAGGGGGGAGAGGGAAGGGUGAGGAGACAUCAACAGAGAGAGGUUGAGCAAGGGAGGAAAGGAGAAGUAAAUGGGUUGGAAAAGAUAUAUUGGGGGAUAAAGAGGGAAUCUUGAGAAAGAAAGCUGUAAGAUGGAGAAGAGACAGAAAAAAGUAAAGAAUGUGAAUGUGGAGGAAAGGAGAAGUAAAUGGGUUGGAAAAGAUAUAUUGGGGGAUAAAGAGGGAAUCUUGAGAAAGAAAGCUGUAAGAUGGAGAAGAGACAGAAAAAAGUAAAGAAUGUGAAUGUGGAGGAAAGGUUCAGAAGUAUAUAUAGGCACAGAAAUACACUUUUACUUUUAACACUUUUCUAGCUAACUUUAAGAGAGUUGAUCAACCCUGACAUCACUUCUCAAUCAAUUUUUACCUCUCAGUUCC